GGGUCUGUAGUCUAGCUUGGUAGGAUCCGAGGUUCGGGACCUCGAGACCGCGGUUCAAAUCCGCGCAGACCCACCA
rnacentral:tRNA from 1 species